rnacentral:lncRNA from 10 species
GGGCGAGGAGUACAAAGGACCCCAGGCGAAGCCGGCGCCGGGAGGCAGAGCUGACUCCCGCGGGACUCUACCGGCCUGCGAGCGUUCGUCACGUGCUCGGUGGCUGAGGGGCCGUCCCGGCCGGGCGGGCUUCACCGCGUGGGCGCGGCAGUCGCCACUCACCGAGGUUGACGACCUUGAGCGCCGUGAAGAAGCGGUUCUGCCGGGCCAGGCGUGGGUUCUCACUAUGUUGCUUAAGCUGGUCCAGAACUCAAGCCAGUCUCUCACUUCAGCCUCUUGAGUCGUUGGGAUUACAGAAGCCACCAUGUCCAACUAGACAAGAUCUUGUUGCCCAGGCUGGUCUCAAACUCCUGCGUUCAAAUGAUACUCUCGCCUUGGCCUCCAAAAGUGUUGGGAUUGCAGACCUGAGCUACUAUGCCUGGCUGAAUUCUAUUUCUAUUGGAUUGGUUGUAAAGAAGUGCAUUGUAGCCUGCAAAGGAGCAGGGCCAGUGGGGUGGAGAGGGCAGAAGUGCUACAGAGGCCCCUGCUCUCCACUGCCCUGACUGCUACUGUGCUGGAUGCCGUGUGAACCACAGCUGCAUCUGGAGGCCUUGGGCAGGCUUUUCCAAUUUGGAGGCACAAAUAAGUGAGAACUUGGGGAUCCACUGAGGUCUGAGGCACGGUGGUACCAGAGGAGAUGAAGGGGCUUUCAGCAUGAAGCUGGUCCCCUGUCGACAGCACGCUGAUUUUCCCGUUGGGCUCUAUCAGCAUGUCCACUGUGAGACCAUGCUUGUGAAAAUACCAGGACGGUAAAUUAGUGAAUUCCAAAGUCAGGAUUUUUGUUGGAUCUGGCACAGUCACAGGAAAGUCUGAGUUUUCUCAAGGGCAUCCCUGUCUCACCGAGGGGCACCAAGGACAGACGACCAGAAGCAAAUGGCGCAGUCACCGUCAGAGGAGAGUAAAACUCAUUCUGAAACGGUUCCAAAUGCCCAUGCCUGCUCUGUGGUUUUCAGCAAAGCGGACCUUUCCAAAAGACCUCCAACAGGGACUUCCUGGAUGUGAGAACACUAACCAAUUCUCGUUCCUCUCAUCUUUUGCUUUAUUCCUUCCUUCCAUGCUGUUAUUGCGAAAAACUGGUAGUUAAAUUCAAUUGAUUCAAAAUAUUCGGGAUCCAUAUGGCCGCCAACCCUGGAGCUGAAGCGGCGAUAGCGCCUCACUGCUGUUUUCAAGCAUUUGCCUCUCCUCCAGUCCCCAGAUGGUGGGAGUAACAUUUAAACCUCCUUUUCUCUGCCUUGUACAAUAGACCUUGGCACCAUUUCAACUGUUUACUCCGGUAAUUAACAGCUCUGAUACCACAACAAUUACAACUCCUACACUCUCACCACAAUAAUGCUAUGAAUUAGUGAGAGCUAAUGGCUGGAAGGUAGAGUGUUUCCAGACUGUGGGAUCUGUGCAUUUUUAGAAUAAAAUAAAAGGUACAAACAGCACGCUUGCAGUAGACAAUGAUUACCUAGUAAUUAGUUUACACAAAGCUUCCUAUUUAAUGGCAAAACGCUGUAAUUAACGUGUGACAGAAAAUCAAAGGGUACUUUGUAAGCAUAUUAAAAAUUAACACUGCAGGCCCAUAGCUUUAUGUACUGAUUAGAAGCAUAUUAAAUCAAUAGGACACACAAACCAACAGCUUGGGUAGCUGAUUAUUAUAGGUCCUCAGAAGGGGUACCCUGGCUUUCAUUUCACUUGGGGAGGCAAUUUUCCUUCUCCUGUCAUCUUCCUCAGGCACAGAGAAACACCUCAAACUCAACCCUGGCAGCUUCAUGAAAAUAACCACUGAACUGGAAGAAAACAUUCUAAGUCAUUCUCAGAGAUGAAGACAAAUAUGUAAAUGAUUAAGACUUUCCAAUGAUUGUGGUGACGUGCUGCUACACUAAUUAGAAAAUACACCAACUGGAACCAGAAAAUAAAGCCACUGGGUUGCAAUCUUCCGGUCAGAAUAAUCUCUACUUUGUCAAGCCUCUUUAUUCAACUCAUAGAAAGUUCAAAUAAAUGGAACUGUUUUAUAUUUCUAAAUGAUAAGAAAGCAGGCUGCUAUGAAGACUUAUUCUUUCCAAGGCACUGUCUGGGUAAAGCAUAGGCUGGGAACAACUGGAUCAACCAACAUUCUGUAUCUUCAACAGCCACAACCCCAUAUAAUGAUGGCUGAUGGACAUAGACAGCAAUAUCCUGGAAGCCUACCAGAGCCUAAAGAACCUUCUGAAUCACCAAAGAAAGAUUAAGUUGUAUGUACUUGUUCAAUGUUACCUGUAUUUUGUUAUAAUACAAUUUUAUGGUAAUAAUAACAACAAUAAUAAUAGGUAGCAUUUCUUAAAGUCUUAUUAUGUGCUAAGCACACUGCUAGCCAAUUCAUAGAAUUAUCUCAUUUACUUGUCACCACUUCCCCAUGAGACAGGUACUAAUCUCUCUUUACAGAUAGAGAAAGGGAGACUUGGAGAGCUGAAGUAAUUUGCCUAUAGUUAUCCCCCAGGGAGCAUGGGAGUCUAACCUAGGUGUCCCUGGCUAUGGAACCCCAGGAAGCCAAACUACCUCUUAGUUACCCUGAAUGACUAGCCUGUUCCAACACUCAUUCUGCUUAAAAGGCAGUUUACUAUGUCAACCUGGAAUAGGAGACUAAAAAAAUUAAAACAAAAACAAAAUAUUUGGUUGCUUAUUUUUUUAAAAAACAGGGUGUUUCUGCUUUUAGAGAUAGGAGUCUUGUUCUGUCACCCAGGCUGGAGAGUGGUGGUGCAGUCAUGACUCAUUGCAGCCUCAAACUCCUGGGCUCGAGUGAUCCUCUUUCUUCAGGCUCCUAAGUAGCUGGAACUACAGGCACACACCUAAUUUUUAAAUUUUUUGUAGAGAUAGGGUCUCACUAUAUUGCCCAGGCUGGUCUUGAACUCCUGGCCUCAAGCCAACUCCCACCUCAGCCUUCCAAAGUGUUGGGAUUACAAAAUAUUACAGGAGUGAUCGACUGCACUGGGCUAAAAACAAGGGUUUUAAAUGCUUACCAUAUUUUUAAUGCUACAUCUGAUUGUGAAGGUGGGCUACUCAAAGCUUUUUGGGAAUUUACAGGCUCACUAAAAUGAUCACGAUAGUGUAUUAAAUUGAGAAAGGCAUUGAAAAUCUGUCAUUCCCAUGAACAACCAAAGGGUGAUGUCUAAAAUUCUCUCUCAUCACCCAUGCACAUAACCAGGUAUAUGAGGCAGUUGGGUUGCAAGAGCUGAAUCCUAGAAACUCCUAGGCAGGGCUCCUCCUCUCCAGCUCUGAGGUGUGUGUAUUGAUGGCCCCCUACACCUCCCAGUUUGCUGCCUUGUGGGAAAAGGAGACCAGCUCUUCUGUUAUCUAGGAAAGGGAAGAAAUUUGAGAGCAGUGGCCUCUGUGUUCCAGGAAUAUUUGCGUUUCCCACAAAUCUCUGGAAAGCAGAAAGCUUGCCACAAGGGCAGCACACGGUAUGAGUCACAAAGGCAAGGACCUGAGGGAGAACACUUCCCAGGACUUUCAAAUAAGGUCUUUCCUAAAUGUACUUGGCUCAGUGUGGCAAAAGCACUGGGCUAGCAGCAGUCAGAUGUGGGUUCAAAGCAAGGCACAAUCAUUUAUUAGCUAUAAAUUUGGGCAAGUCACUUCUUGAGAAUAAGUUUCUUCAUCUGUAAACAGAAGUAAUACCUUCCUUAUAUCUUAAAUUGGUGUGGAAGUAAAUGAGUAAAAACCUCAGGGUUUUUCUGAGUUUAAAUGAGACAAUUCAUGUAACGUGCUUAGCACAAUACCUGGUACCCAGUAGGUACUCUGCAGUAUUUAUUGAUGAUGAUGAUGAUGAUGAUGAUGAUGAUGAUGAUGACAAAGAAAUACAAGGAAAUGUCAACACCUUAACAGUGCAUUCAUAGAUCUACAAAAUGCUUAAUCUCAGUGUUCUGGCAACCACUAAAUACAUAAAGAUAAUCUAAGACAUCAAGAUUUCAACAUAUAAAAAUAAAUAUAAAAACAAGUGAACAAUAAUCAUUUAUAUGUAGUUUCAUGACUGGAAAAAAUAAUAACCUAGAUUUUUUCUUAACCUAGAAAAUCUAGAUUAAAAAAUAAAGAUCUUGCAUUUUUGAUAUAAAACACAAAUAAUAAGGACAUGAAAAAAGAAUAUCCCUUGCUAGUAAUCAAAUAAUAGCAAUGAGAAGCUGGAUUCUUAUAUCUAAAAUAAAAGUGCAAAUAGUUCAUAAUAUCCAUUGGUGGUAAGGUUGUGGUAAAACUAGUAUUCUUAUUCUCUGCCAGUUGCUUUGGAAAUUGGUACUAUCUUUUUAGGAAUAUGGCAAUAUGUAACAAAAGCCAUAAAAUAUUCUACUCCUGGGUCUUUCUCCUCGGGAAGUAACUCAACAGAAGCAAAAAGAGGUGUAUACAAAAACCAAAUAUAAAAACAAACAAAUCUUUCCUCCCUCUUUCCUCCCACUGCCAAAAAAUGAAAGCUGGGAAUAGCCUAAAUUUCCAACUUAGUUGAAUUGUUCAAUAUAUUAGAGUUCAUCAAUAUGAGAGAAUAUUAUGCAUCUAAUAAUUGUGACGACUAUGUAUAAACAUGGAAAAUAUUUAAGAUCUGAUGUUUAACUAGCAUAUACACUAUUAUUGUAGCUAUGAGAAAGAAAUACUGCAUAUUUAGAAAUUAAUAUACAAAAAUGAAAACAACUAUGUUUGGGGACAGUGAUUAUGUACUUUUAAAUUUUUUUUAAUCUUGUUAUCUUUAAACUUUUCUAAAAAUGAUGUGAUUACAAGCAAUGGCUCUUUGGGAUCACCUAAUAAAUACCUACUAAAUUCUAGACGGGACAACGAGCUCUGCCAUCCUGCAAUGGCUCCUGUGACCUAGUUCCAGGGCCAUUCUGAAUGGACAGAGGUCUUCACAAUGGAGGUGGAGAUGCAGGGAGCUCUAUGGCAUGAAAUGGUUAAUGAUUCUCUUUUGUAAUUGUGUUUUCUGUUUGCUGCCUUAGUUCUAAAAGGAGGCAAAACAACUGUGGUUUAUUCUACCUUUUCCAGGCAUAGUUCUUCUCCUACCUUUGUGAUCCCCAAAUUAAUAUCAAAUGUCUAAUUAGUUUUUUUCUCCAUUGGUGAUCCCCAAAUUAAUAUCAAAUGUCAGACAAAGUAAAUCAAAGUACAAAUAAAGGUAAAACUGCUCUUGCAAAGGGCUAAAAUAGCAAUGUUUACUAGAAGCAUUCAAGAGCCAGUUCAAUUUCCUAUUUCUCAUUAAGUGGUAAAAUAGUAAUGCCAAGACCACAUCCCAGAAUCUCCAGGGUAACAGAGGCCCAACGAAGGGCUGCAGAGAAACUUGAAAGUAAACUGGCUUAGUUCUUUACACACAGAAAUUGUUCUACAAAGAUCUCUUGCAAAGCAGUGUCACCAGUAGCAUCACUGCCACUAAGCCAAUGUCCCAGGAAUUGAGGAAAGGAAGACACCCUUAAAGAAAAAAAUGGAAAAAAGCCACAAGGACUGGUACCACAGUAAAUGUCUGCCUGGGUCUCCCUAAACUGUCUUAGGUGAGCUUACCCAGGAAUGUUUCUCCCCUACAUGUUUGCCUUCCUUUGUUUAAGCCUUUAUUCCUCCUAAAUGAAAAUAAAUACCCCCGACUGGGGAACGUGGAGUUUGGAGUGUGUGCAAGAGUGUGGAUUCAUUAAAACUUAACGAGCAGAGUACUUAAGUGAAUGAGUUUACUGGAACUUGUUGGGGGAAGUAGGUUUUGUUAGCUGGU